ACACCACCGUACCGAACCUCCACAGAUGGUGGAAAGAACCCAAUGUUUCAAGAGAAUUUUUUGUUCACUUUGCUUGAAGGCCUUAGGAGACCUUAAAGAAUGCUACAAUUCAGUUGCAGAAGGUUCUUUCUCAGGGAUACAAAGACUGUACCUGAACUCUAUAUAUUAAAACUGGCAGAUAACAGCCUUGGUUUCCCUAG